ACACAUACACACAUACAUACACACACACACAUAAAGGAAUACUAUGCACUCUUCAUUUUAUUUUAUUUUAUUUUGAGACAUAGUUUCGCUCUUGUUGCCCAGGGUGGAGUGCAAUGGAGUGAUCAUGGCUUACUGCAACCUCCACCUCCCGGGUUCAAGCGAUUCUCCUACCUCAUCCUCCCUAGCAGCUGGGAUUACAGGCAUGCACCACGUAGCCUGGCUAAUUUUCUACUUUUAGUAGAGACGGGGUUUCUCCAUGUUGGUCAGGCUGGUCUAGAGAGCUUGCAGUGAGCUGAGAUUGCGUGACUGCACUCCAGCCUGGGUGACAGAGAGAGACUCCAUCUCAAAAUAAUAAUAAUGAAUAAAUAAAUAAAAUAAAAAAUAAAAAGGUGGAAGAAACUCAGACUUUCAAAAAUUAAGGAUCCUAUUUUUACCUAAGAUAUUGGCUUUACUCUUCGGUUCCCUUGAUUGACUUAGCCAAUAAUUUUUUUUCUACCUAACUACACAAGAAAAAUGAAAUGAAGGUGUAGAACUCAAGAAUC
rnacentral:lncRNA from 10 species